AAGGAGAUCAUUUAAAGGGAGUGAGCCCAUCUAGGCAGUUAACUGAAUAAUGAGCACCUGGGCCUGAUGAAAGGCCAUUAGGGCUCAGUUGCAGAGAGGUGCUCCUCGAGAGAGAAGUUAUCUGAGACCCUAGCAGGAGAAGGACUGGAGCCUGUCAACUUCUCCAAGCUGACAGGUGAAAGGAAUGAGUAUAAAAGGGGAAAAGCUGCCUGAGGCCUACAGCUGGCCUGAAGCAUAAUCCUGCUCUGGGAGGAGAGCUGGGGGACUCCUGGAUUAAGAAGAGGAAGACUCCUUGAUAAACCAGCUGCAUGAGGAGGGCUGACACCUGAACCUUGGAGAAGUUGCUUGUCAGCAUAAGUCCAGGGCUGAAGAAGUGUUGAACCCGAGGGGCUAAUAAGGAUGGAUUUUCCUGGUAACUCUGGAAAAUGAGCUAAUAAAUGAGACCAUGUGCACCUUAUUCUCAGUUCCUGGAUCUGAGUAAAUCACUGCAAGACCACAAAGAGAGAAAGAAGGAAUCCAGCUGGUAAAGCCACACUGUGACACGAAGGGAUGCGCUCAAGGGUGCCACCCUGUGACAAGUGGUACUACAAGUGGAAUUCUGAGACACCCUCCCAUCAAGGAGGGAUGCCCAAGCAGCACGGUGCAGGUGUCUUCCUUGGUAGUGACACAUUUACCCUCCCAUGUCAGCAUAUGGAGGGGCAGCCAGAGCGGCAGCAGUUCCAGCUCCAGUUUUUGGGAGUGCCCAAAAGCAGGAGAGGCCUGUGGAGGAUGUUCCAUGAGAGAUACAGCCAGAUCAGCUAGAGUCACUGGCCUGCAAAAACCUCUCGGUCAUCAAAUGGACCCUUCAGAUACCAGCCAGACAGCUAAGAAACUUGAACUCCGCUCACAAGAUGCAAGGGGAAACAGUGACUGUUCGGAGGUUCAGUUUUGUGUUGACUUGUGUAUUUCAGAUUGCUCAAAAUGAGCUUGUGCAAGAAGGCAUAAAACAGCAUAGUGAUCAACUGAGUUGUGAGCCUCAGCAAAGAAACAAGCCAUUAAUCCAGCUGAGCCAUAAAAACUGUGGUCAUUAAAGAUCCCACAGCACCUUUUAGAAGAGUUGGAGUGUGACUGAGUGCACCCCAGUAUUCACACCCUACACACUAUUGUCAUAAUCUCUGAUUAUUAGCCUUAGCUCUCUCAUCUAAUUUCCAAUGGCAGGCUGCUGAUGUUAUCAGGCAGGCAGGAGGUCAUGGGCAACUGGAUUGGUGCUUCUGUGGCCUCGUUUAACUGUUAUCCACCUAAGGAAUCAUUUAAACAGAGAAAACACUUAGUCAUGAAGAAACUCUACGCCCACCCCCACUCUCCCAGCUGUCUUACUUCAGUCAGAACAGGGAAUGGCAGUCCCUCAGUGGGGCCACAGGGAGAUCCUCCCUUUUUAAAAAACUUGGCUGGGCAGUGGGGACACUUGAGAAGAAGAGGUUUAUUUUGCAGGGCUUCUAGUCCUGCUCUUGGCAUCACCUGCCCUAAAUGUUCUCCAGGAGAAUGUCAAAUCUAGUCUAAAUUCUUAGGCACAUGCCAAGCUUUGGGAGUGUUUACAGGCAGCCUGUGCAGUCUAGGAUGCGUGAGUUCAUUGCUGUGAUACAGGCUAAUGACAAGUAUUGUGUGUGUGUGUGUGUGUGUAUUGAAGGAGGGUUAUGAGACAUAUCUGAAGGGUCAAAAGCUCUCAGAGGUUAGAUUAUGAACCUGUUGUUCGUACUGAUGAGCAAUUACCUGCUCCAGUUCGCCAUUAACUCCAACGCAACUCCUCACGUAAGUAGCCGCUCAUCUGGGAGUUCACACUCUGGCCCUAAGGAAGGACAAUUGUUCAGGAUGGUUAUAACUAGGAGUAAGGGGAUUAAGUUGAGCAAACCAGUACUGAAUAUUAAUGAUGAAAUCUACUCGAGUGAUGUACUUAAUGCACUGCUGCAUUUAUGCGAUACCCUUAAAACUGAAUUGGACAAA